rnacentral:piRNA from 1 species
UGUUCUAGGUAGCCAUACUUUUGGAUGAAU